rnacentral:rRNA from 1 species
GACGAACGCUGGCGGCGUGCUUAACACAUGCAAGUCGAACGGAAAGGCCCUGCUUUUGUGGGGUGCUCGAGUGGCGAACGGGUGAGUAACACGUGAGUAACCUGCCCUUGACUUUGGGAUAACUUCAGGAAACUGGGGCUAAUACCGGAUAGGAGCUCCUGCUGCAUGGUGGGGGUUGGAAAGUUUCGGCGGUUGGGGAUGGACUCGCGGCUUAUCAGCUUGUUGGUGGGGUAGUGGCUUACCAAGGCAUUGACGGGUAGCCGGCCUGAGAGGGUGACCGGCCACAUUGGGACUGAGGUACGGGCCAGACUCCUACGGGAGGCAGCAGUGGGAAAUAUUGCACAAUGGGCGGAAGGCUGAUGCAGCAACGCCGCGUGCUGGAUGACGGCCUUCGGGUUGUAAACCGCUUUCGCCUGUGACGAAGCGUGAGUGACGGUAAUGGGUAAAGAAGCAACGGCUAACUACGUG